AAAUCUUGUCUAGUGAAGGUCUAACCAACCAACUAGUAGCGAGUCUUGUGCUUGUAAUAGUAAUAUUGCAAGUAAAGCGUAGACAGCAAGGAAGCAGGGUUAAAAGGCAGUUCAGCUCCGAAAUGUUGUCUUAAAUUGAAAGGCAGAUGUAUUAAUUGUUGCAGAAUGCAAUAUUCAAAUAAUCGUUAUGGUAAGAGUAUUUGAACUUUCACGGGGUCAA
rnacentral:ncRNA from 1 species